GAUGAACGCUGGCGGCAUGCUUUACACAUGCAAGUCGAACGGCAGCACAGCAGAGGUAACUCUGUGGGUGGCGAGUGGCGAACGGGUGAGUAAUACAUCGGAACGUACCCUGUUGUGGGGGGAUAACUACGCGAAAGCGUAGCUAAUACCGCAUACGCCCUGAGGGGAAGCGGGGACCCUAAAUAGAGCGCACUGGGAGUGCGUUGUAUUUAGGGCCUCGCGCAAUAGGAGCGGCCGAUGUCGGAUUAGCUAGUUGGUGAGGUAAAGGCUUACCAAGGCGACGAUCCGUAGCUGGUCUGAGAGGAUGAUCAGCCACACUGGGACUGAGACACGGCCCAGACUCCUACGGGAGGCAGCAGUGGGGAAUUUGGACAAUGGGGGCAACCCUGAUCCAGCCAUGCCGCGUGAGUGAAGAAGGCC
rnacentral:rRNA from 1 species